GUCAUACGCGGCAAGCAAGUACACACACGACUGAAGUGUCGCUGGAAGACUGCAGGAACAGAAACCCCUGGAAAGGUUAGAAGACAGCGGAAAGAAUUGACAUCGCAGUAAACCCAGCAGACAGCCAGAGACACACCAAGAGACACGCACACACACGCAGCUGAAGUGAGUUUGACUGACGCGCACGGGAGAUCGGGCACGCGCAAGGGAAAUCAUGCACGUGCACGGAAGGUCGUGCACGCACGCACAAACAUGGAGCACAGCAUAAUUACAACAGUUGGAUUAAAAUAAAAGUACUUUGUGGUAUACAAUGUU